GACGAACGCUGGCGGCGUGCUUAACACAUGCAAGUCGAACGGAAAGGCCCUGCGUUUGUGUGGUGCUCGAUUGGGGAACGCGUGAGUAACACGUGAGUAACCUGCCCUUGUCUUUGGGGUAACUUCAGGAAACUGGGGCUAAUACCGGAGAGGAGCUCCUGCAGCACGGUGGGGGUUAGAAAGUUUCGGCGGUUGGGGCUCGACUAGAGGGUUAUCAGCUUGUUUGUGUGGUAGUGGCUUACCAGGGCUUUGACGGGUAGGCGGCCUGAGAGGGUGACCGGCCACAUUGCGCCUGCGGUACGGCCCAGACUGCUACGUGAGGCAGCAGUGGGAAAUCUUGCGCAAUGGGGGCAAGCCUGAUGCAGCAGCGCCGCGUGCGGGAUGACGGCCUUCGGGUUGUAAACCGCUUUCGCCUGUGACGAAGCGUGAGUGACGGUAAUGGGUAAAGAAGCACCGGCUAACUACGUG
rnacentral:rRNA from 1 species